AUGCUAUCUAGGCGGCGCUUCAUGGCGGAACCGCCGCCAGCGCUUCCCCAGCCCUUGUCGCACGGACCCAUCGCCGCCGCGCCUGUACCACCGCGUCUCACCGCGUCUUCGACGGCCAACACAUGGGGGCCGGCAGCACCAACCUCUCCGAGUGGCCAUGUCGCCCAGAACCCUAGCAUUGGGGAUUCCGACGAGGUGGAGAGCGGGGCAGUGGCGCCGACGGCCGAGGCCCUCCCCAAGAUCAACUCCUUUGUGGGCGCACUUGCAGCAGCCCAUCUGCCCCAGAAUUCCAUGCCCGACGAGGAGGACGGCAUAGCUGAUGAAUGCGGCUCGACCUCUCUCUCUGCUAUUUGCGCUAGGAUGAUCCAGUCUUGUAGCUACACAGUAGAGGUAAAGGUUUGUGGCAGUGGAACCAAAAUCACCGGGGAUUCGAUAUUUAGUUGGCAGAUUAUUGAGGGUAGUAGGACAAGUAUGAAGGAUUUGCUGGCUUGUAUUGCCGGAAAUUUUGCUUUAUGCUCAGAGGAUAAUAUAUUUCUUGAGUACUUUGAUUCCAUUAGUGGCAAAAAUAUCUCUGUGUCAAAUGAUGAAGAAUGCAUGAAAAUGUUUGCCUGUUUUGAUCAGAAUAGAAGUGGCCAUUUGAUCAUCAAAUAUUCCGAGAGAAGUGAUAAUGUUGAUGUUCCAUGUACUCCUUCGAACCAAACACCAUCUAUAGCACUGCCUAGUCAACCAAGUAGCAUCAUUGAUGAAGCUAAUGUAUGCCUAACAGAUACAUAUCUUGACAAUCCGCAUGAAGAAUAUGAACAUGUUGGUGUAGAUGAGGAGGACCAGUACUCAAUUGGCAGUGUUGGUUCCGAUAGUGAUGAUGAGGUCAAAGAAAAAGAUAUACCAAAUAAUGAUUAUGUUGAGGAUAGCAGUGAUGAUGAGGAAUGGGUUGCAGAAGAUGCUAGACCGGAUGCUAUUCCAGAAAUUGCUUAUGACAAAGAAAACCCGCCAAUGCAUGUUGGCGCAAAGUACCCCAACAUUGAAGAGUUUAGGUUGGCAAUUGCUACAUAUGCUGUAAAGAAAGAGUUCGAAUUCAAGGUUGAAAAAAGUGAACCUACUCGAUUCAGGGCUUAUUGUCGCCGGGCGAAGAAGACGGAUUGUAAAUGGAGAAUUCGUGUUGGGAGGUUGGAUGACCAAGAAACUAUGGAGGUCAAAGUUCAUGUGCAGGAGCACACUUGUUCUAGCGCAAAGAAGAAAAAGAAGCAGAAAAAUGCUUCAAAGGCAUGGGUGUGUGAGAAAGUCAUGGACUGGGUAAAAGAAGAUCCUAGUGUUUGGCCGAUGGAGUUACGGAGGAGGCUACAUGACAAGUACAAGAUCAACGUCCAAUACACGAAAGUAUUCCGUGGCAAAGGGCUAGCAAUGGCUAAGUUGUUUGGUAACUGGGAUGAUUCUUUUGACAAGCUAUAUGCUUGGAAAGCUGAGGUUGAGAAGAGGUCUCCUGGAAGCAUAGUUGCGAUUGACCACAUGGAGUAUGAUCAGAAAAAAUAUUUCAUACGGAUGUUUGUUGGGCUGAAGCCUUUGUGCGAUGGAUUCUUGGCUGGCUGCAGACCUUACUUGGCGAUAGAUAGCACUCAUUUGACAGGCAAGUACAGAGGCCAAUUAGCUACUGCUUGUGCCGUUGAUGGGCACAAUUGGUUGUAUCCUGUAGUCUAUGGAGUUAUUGACUCAGAAACUACUGAAAGUUGGGUGUGGUUUUUGGAGAAGCUUCGUGAUGCUAUUGGCUCUCCCCCUGGUCUAGCUAUAUGUUCAGAUGCGGGAAAAGGGAUUGACACUGCAAUCGAACAGGUCUUUGGGUAUGCAGAACAUAGAGAAUGCAUGCGACAUUUGGUUGUGAACUUCAAGAAAAAGUUUCAUGGUAAAGUUUUUGAUGAUCAUUUGUGGCCGGCUGCUUAUUCAUGGACUCCUCGAGGGUUUGACUAUCACAUGGCAGCCAUAGAGGAGAAAAAGGCUGCUGCAGUAGCAUAUUUAAACAAGUACCACAGCAGGCUAUGGUCAAGGAGCAAAUAUUCAACCUCCUCAAAAGUGGAUUAUGUGACAAAUAAUUUGGCCGAGUGUUUCAACAACUGGAUCCGCAAGCACAAAGGUCUCAUGUUGUUUCAGCUCAUGGACAAGAUCAGGAGAAAGAUUACUGUCAAGUUUGAGAAGAGGAGAAGGGUAGCUAGAAAAUUUCAAGGUCGACUUAUACUUCCAAGUGUCAUGAAGGAGUUGAAUGACAUAAGCAGGGGGCUGGACAUUGAAUAUGAGAGAAUAGAUGACAUGAUUGCAGAGGUGAGUGAGAGUGUUGCACUAGGUGGCAAGCGCCACGUCACUGAUCUAGCAAAUAGGACAUGCACAUGCAGGGCAUUUCAAGUCUCUGGGAAGCCUUGCAAACAUGCAAUUAGCUUUAUUACUGGAAUUAGGGGGUCACAAUAG
rnacentral:rRNA from 1 species